rnacentral:rRNA from 1 species
CCUACGGGUUGCACCAGUGGGGAAUAUUGCGCAAUGGACGAAAGUCUGACGCAGCGACGCCUCGUGAGGGACGAGGGUCUUCGGAUUGUAAACCUCUUUCAGCAGGGACGAAGCGAAAGUGACGGUACCUGCAGAAGAAGCACCGGCUAACUAUGUGCCAGCAGCCGCGGUAAUACAUAGGGUGCAAGCGUUGUCCGGAUUUAUUGGGCGUAAAGAGUUCGUAGGCGGUUUUUCGCGUCGGAUGUGAAAACUCAGGGCUCAACCCUGAGCCUGCAUUCGAUGCGGGAAGACUCGAGGACGGCAGGGGAGACUGGAACUUCUGGUGUAGCGGUGGAAUGCGCAGAUAUCAGAAAGAACACCAAUGGCGAAGGCAGGUCUCUGGGCCGAUCCUGACGCUGAGGAACGAAAGCGUGGGGAGCAAACAGGAUUAGAUACCCUCGUAGUC